UAUUCAGUUUAAAUAUACCUUUUCCAACCAUUUAUUGAAAGUACUAUUUACUACUUUAUAUACUAUUUAUAUGGCUUCACUUAUUUAUUUUACUUUUCAGAGUUUCAGAGAAAAGUUAUGUUCCAACUUGCUGAAAUUAAAAACAUUUUAGUAAAUAAAACUGCACAGUUCUCUAAUGAUCCAGAAAGUUAUAAACAACUUAAAAGUUCAGAUGAACUUAAUGUUCUGAAAAGAAAAAUUGCAAAUGGAGAUAUCCAAUACAUCACUUUUGUAAAACAGUUAUCAUUAAUUGGAGACUGACAACAGACACUAUUUUCAGAAUGCAGCAUGAAUGGUCUAAAGAAGAAAAAAAAGUUGAAAAAGUUGACAAGUCUAUAUAUCGCUAUCACUGAUGCUGCCUCAAAGUCAAAUAAAAGUUUAACCAAAAUGGAUCUCAUGCAACUUAUUGGAAGAUUAAUUAGGCAUUCUUCUGACUGAUUCAAGAGAAAAUCCACCAUUAUCGAUAUCGAUCAACGAUGACUUAAUUAACUUCAAUCAACUGUUGUGUUUUUUAUUUAUUUUGCAUUUUACAGUAAUUUUCUUUUUACUUAUAAUAUGCUAUUGAUUAUACUUUACAAAAUAUAU